GUCUUGGCGCUCCCGGCCGCGCGUUUCGCCCUCACCCGCCCAAUUGUUACCGCCUCGGCCCCCUCCCCCUUCCGGGUACCUGGAAACCUCGGGCCCGGGAGCCAAUUCCUGCCGGGGACUUAGGCCCGGGCGGCCGCGGGAAAGCCAAGGAUACUGCAUUAUAUUUAGUGUUCAUGUCUCCUUAGGCUCUUCUUGGCCAUGAUAUUUCUCAUACUUUCCCGGUUUUUGCUGGCCCCCAUGGUUUUGAGGAAUAACUGAGACCUGUCUAAUAAGAUGAUGCUACGGCCGAUGUCACAAAGAUUGCUGCCUGUGUUCUUCUCUAGGACCAGAAGAGGAAGAGACACCAGGAGUAUGCAUGCACAGACAAAAGACCAUGCAAGGACACAAAGAAGGCAGCUAUCUGAAAGCCAAGGAGUGAGGUCUUUCCAGAAACUGAUCCUGCUGGGGCUGAUCUUGGAUUUCUGGUCUCCAGAACUGUGAGAAAAUAAUCUUCUGUUGUGUAAGCCACCCUGCCUGUGGUAUUUUGUUAUGGCAGCCUGAGCAGAUGACUACAGCAUCUGUUGGCAUUCUUGUUGUUUUUUUUUUUAAUUACUGUAAUGUUACAGGGUCACUGCUUGUACCUGUUCUGUCUCACAAGUGUGCGCAGUUAAGAGUUCUAUCAGCACAUAACAUGAGUCUCUGAUUUCCAGCUCCUAAUGUCUCUUUUGUGCUGCCUGUUACCUUAUUCCUAAGCCAAUUCUCUAUAUUUUAGUUUUUUAUUUUCUACACCACUUCAAGGAAUCAGUUUCUGCAAGAUGAAUCUCAAACCUUUGGAAGAUUAACCCAAAGGAAGUUUAUUUUUCAUGUAAUGAUAACAUGUGGGUGUUCCUGGUUGAUGGGUGGCUGUCCUCCAUACGGAGAAUAGGGACCACCUUCUUUCAUCAUCUAUGCUCCACCAUAUUCUGGGCUUGCACUGUCCAACAUGGUGCCACGUGUGCUACUGAGUACUUGAAAAAGGGCUAGCAGCACUUGAAAUGUGCAAUAAGAGUAAAACACAUACUGGAUUUUGAAAAAAAGAAGAGUAUCUCAUUGAUAUUUUUUGUAUCUUAGAUACAUGUUGAAAUAAUUUUUGGAAAUACUGGGUUCAAAGAUGCAUUAUUAAAAUGAAUUUCACCCGUUUUUUCCCCAAACACAUAGUAAUGUGGCUGUUGGAGAAUUAAAAAUAACGUGGUUCACAUUAUAUUUCUCUUGGACAGCCGCUCUGAAGUCUCCGGGUCUUCUGCUUCAGUUGGCAGAAGAGGGAAGAGCCAGAAGUGGGAAGAGCCAAUUCCAUUGGUUAUGUGGCUAUGUCAAGAUGCAGGAGGGGCCGGGAAAGGUCCUGGCUCAGAGGCCACCGUAGUAACAAUUCUACUCUAAGAUGGGGAGGGCAGAGCUAGUCCUCUCUAGCACAAGGUCUUUGCUCAAGAAUCACCUCCUUGGUAAAAUCUUCCCUGACCACUGCAACCACCUCCAGCCUCUUUCCCCAGCAUUCUCUGUCUUCUUGCCUUGUUUUGUUUUUCUCUAGAACAUUCUCACCACUUGGCUUAGCAUAUGUUUUGUUUGUUCAUUUCCUUUCUUUCUAUGUGUAAAUUCCCUCGAGGAAUUUUUUUUUUCAAAAAAAAAUUGUUUUCUUUUUAAUUGUAUUUGAGAGAGACAGAGUCAGUGUGAGUGGGGG